CAAAUUGUCUUUGUUUUAGAGAGUGGUUUAUAUAUGCACUGAAGGAAGAUCGCGGACUUUAGAAAAAAAAAAGAGUAGGAAGGGAUCAUGAAAUACGCCCUAAGUUUCUCUUUUAGUUUCCCACCGCGCUACAGCGAAGUGGGAAGGCAGAAACCAGACUAGGAUCAAAACCACAAACCCAGCUGCUCACCCAGAACCUGGUUUUCUGUGUAGGACUUCAUAUGUGCACGGGUUUUAUCUAUAUAUCUAUAUAUCUAUAUAUCUAUAUAUCUAUAUAUCUAUAUCUAUCUAUCUCUAUAUAGAUAUAGGUUUUGUUUGUUUGUUUGUUUGUUUUGGGGGGGUUAUUUUGCUAGAGGAAGAUUCCAUAGUGUGGCAAAGAGUUUGAAACUCUACAGAAUCCCCAAUCCCAGCUCCGGGCGCUUUCCUGUUCUGUCAAUUUGCUUUCAUUAUUCUCUCAGCUUAAACCGUUUGAGUGACGCAGGCUCUGCCAUGGUUUGAUGUGUGGGCAUAAAACAAAGCGGGCCACAGAACAGGAUGAAGGCUUAUGCUAACUCCUGUCAAAUGCUAAGCAUGUCCAGUCAUGCGUUAAUCCUUCGUGGCUGACCACAAGGGGUGACUUCCAUCACACCCGUAGGUAAAGCUGCUGACCGUGGGCUGCACACAGUGCUGGGAAGAGAAACACUUAUAAGUGAUCGUCGUGUGGGUAUUCGUAUCCAUCACAUCGAUCUUGUAAAGAUUCAAUGCUUUGAGCUUUUUUUCUUGGCUGAACAAUCAAGGGAUUGGGAAUAAGAUAAGAAGGAGACAUUACCUCAUAGGCUAUUCACAUACAUUAUAUGUAAUUUAGUACUGGUCAUAAUUAGAAUCCCCUAAAAAACGUCCAUGGCUUUUCAAAUAUGAGGUAUUAUCAUUUUUAUAAUUAUUAACCACUCCGAGCUUCUCUGUACUCUUUCUUGAGAGCAUUGGAAAACACUAACUUUAUCUGAUCGAUAAGGUUUUCCUUUCAGAUUCUUUCCAACAAUGAAAUCAUCAUGUAAAACCCAGCUUGAUAGAUAUCAGACCGCAGACAUGACUAAACAUUUCUUGCUGUUCACCCGUGUGUGUUUGGUAAUGCUGACUGAUGUCACGCUAACAAAGAACAAAGUAUGGCAGAAAAGAGUUGAUUUUGCCUUCCCUUUCCAGAGGGAUAUAGUCUGUUACGAGAACGGAGAGAUGGCUGCCGACAUGUGUGAGCAAAGUCAUCGUGGCAGAGGCAGGAGGCCGCUGGGCUAUGCUCCAUCUACACUCAGGAAAUAAUAGAGUUUGAAUGGGAAGAGAGACUCAGUCACAAAGGGCAGCAUCCACUGGGAAGGAGAAAGCCUCCGACGUCUGUCUUCAAAGUGUAAACAUUACGAGCUAUGAUCAUUUUCAUCUGCUGUUUGUGCAAGCAGCAAACAGCCCCGAUGGCCAGCGCAGGCGCUGAAUGACAGGACAUUAAGACAUCACGGCAGGUGCCAUGGACAGAGUCCAGAGGGGCCGAGAUGUGAGAACAUUCACCAGAACAUCAGAAUUGGCUGCUUGUCUAUCUUCUGUCUACCAAACGUCAUCCUGUCUGUCUGUCUAUCAUGUUAAUCGUCUACUCUCUACCUACCUAUCAUUUAUCUAGCUACCACCUACUUGUAAUAUUCGACCAGAAGAUACUAUGCACACUCC